rnacentral:lncRNA from 1 species
UCUCUUUCUCUCCGUCUUUCUCGAUCAAAGCCGCGGACACCGUUCAAUUUCCCAUCCUGAUUGCCCGCCGACGAGGUCACCGGAGGCCAAGGUGAGUCUCCUUCUUCUUCCCCUCUUUCUCCUCCUUCCUCCCAUACCUUUGCUUGAGGCGGCCGGCGACGAGUGUCGCCGAUUUUCGGUCGGGGAAAAAGACUCUAUUUUUUGGGCCUCUUUUUCGUG